rnacentral:rRNA from 1 species
GUGGGGAAUAUUGGGCAAUGGGCGAAAGCCUGACCCAGCAACGCCGCGUGAGGGAAGAAGGCCUUCGGGUUGUAAACCUCUGUCCUUGGUGACGAAAAAAAUGACGGUAGCCAAGGAGGAAGCCCCGGCUAACUACGUGCCAGCAGCCGCGGUAAUACGUAGGGGGCGAGCGUUGUCCGGAAUUACUGGGCGUAAAGGGUGCGUAGGUGGCCUUUUAAGUUGGAUGUGAAAUACCCGGGCUUAACUUGGGGGGUGCAUCUAAUACUGGAGGGCUAGAGUGCAGGAGAGGGAAGCGGAAUUCCUAGUGUAGCGGUGAAAUGCGUAGAUAUUAGGAGGAACACCAGUGGCGAAGGCGGCUUUCUGGACUGUAACUGACACUGAGGCACGAAAGCGUGGGGAGCAAACAGGAUUAGAAACCCUUGUAGUCC